rnacentral:rRNA from 1 species
GACGACCGGCGCACGGGUGCGUAACGCGUAUAGAACCUACCUUUUACAGAGGGAUAGCCUUUAGAAAUGAAGAUUAAUACCUCAUAGUAUUGCGAUUUGGCAUCAGGUUGUAAUUAAAGAUUUAUCGGUAAAAGAUGGCUAUGCGUCCUAUUAGUUAGUUGGUGAGGUAACGGCUUACCAAGACAUCGAUAGGUAGGGGUCCUGAGAGGGAGAUCCCCCACACUGGUACUGAGACACGGACCAGACUCCUACGGGAGGCAGCAGUGAGGAAUAUUGGACAAUGGAGGAGACUCUGAUCCAGCCAUGCCGCGUGCAGGAAGACUGCCCUAUGGGUUGUAAACUGCUUUUAUACAGGAAGAAACACUAGUACGUGUACUAACUUGACGGUACUGUAAGAAUAAGGACCGGCUAACUCCGUGCCAGCAGCCGCGGUAAUACGGAGGGUCCGAGCGUUAUCCGGAAUCAUUGGGUUUAAAGGGUCCGCAGGCGGUCGAUUAAGUCAGAGGUGAAAUCCCAUAGCUUAACUAUGGAACUGCCUUUGAUACUGGUUGACUUGAGUCAUAUGGAAGUAGAUAGAAUGUGUAGUGUAGCGGUGAAAUGCAUAGAUAUUACACAGAAUACCGAUUGCGAAGGCAGUCUACUACGUAUGUACUGACGCUCAUGGACGAAAGCGUGGGGAGCGAACAGGAUUAGAUACCCUGGUAGUCCACGCCGUAAACGAUGGACACUAGUUGUUGGGAUUUAUCUCAGUGACUAAGCGAAAGUGAUAAGUGUCCCACCUGGGGAGUACGAUCGCAAGAUUGAAACUCAAAGGAAUUGACGGGGGCCCGCACAAGCGGUGGAGCAUGUGGUUUAAUUCGAUGAUACGCGAGGAACCUUACCAGGGCUUAAAUGUAGUAUGACAGGUUUAGAGAUAGACUUUUCUUCCGACAUAUUACAAGGUGCUGCAUGGUUGUCGUCAGCUC